CGGAGGGUGCAAGCGUUGUCCGGAUUUAUUGGGUUUAAAGGGUGCGUAGGUGGCUCUAUAAGUCAGUGGUGAAAGUCUGCAGCUUAACUGUAGAACUGCCAUUGAUACUGUGGAGCUUGAGUACUGAUGAGGUAGGCGGAAUUGAUAGUGUAGCGGUGAAAUGCAUAGAUAUUAUCAAGAACACCGAUUGCGAAGGCAGCUUACUAAGGAGUUACUGACACUGAGGCACGAAAGCGUGGGGAUCAAACAGGAUUAGAUACCCUGGUAGUCCACGCCAUAAACGAUGAUUACUCGAUGUAUGCGAUAGACAGUAUGCGUCCAAGCGAAAGCGUUAAGUAAUCCACCUGGGGAUACGACCGCAAGGUUG
rnacentral:rRNA from 1 species